rnacentral:lncRNA from 1 species
AUGAUACUAGUACUUUUCCCAGUACACAUUUACGACAGAAAGCCUGAACGGACAGGAUGUAGCAGCCCCUCCUAUUGCAACUGCCUUCACAUAUCUGGAGGCAAAUACUGGGACAGCCAAUUCAAAAGCAUUCAAAUCACCACCAACAAAACAACAGAGAACCCCCAGGGAGGACAUUAUGUGGACAAAGUCCCAGGAGAAGAAGCCGGACUGACAUUCUUGGGAUCCUUUCCCGACAUCAACAAAACAAACUUCACGUCCACAGCAUGGAGCUUCUCUGUCUCUCUUUUUCUUCUGCAGCCCACUGCGCACAUGGGAAAUCAAGAAGCUGUGGGGAACAGGGUGAGAUCCGGAGCAGACAGUGAGGUGCCAGGUAGAGGGACUUGGACAGGGCAACCCUGCAAAAAGAUGAUUGCCACCUAACAGUCUUCAAAAUAGAUGACAAGCUAAAAGACCCUUGGCCAUUCUUAAAACAGAGAAGAGAAGAGAUGUCAGACUGCUGGCUGCCAAAGAAGACAUUUUGAUGGGAACAUGAUAUAUUUUCAAAUCCUUUGUGUGUUGUGAGAGGGGUUAAUUAUUUUACUGACUGUUGUAAUUACAUUUAAUUUCCUUUUAAUAUUCAAAUAAAUUACAUUUAAUUGCUUUUUAAUAUCCA